AACCUCAAAACCUAUCUUCUUCUGAGGUCAAGCCAUCCACUCACAGGACUUCUUCUCAAGCUGGAGCCCUUAGUUGAGCUGAUUUUACACAAUCGAGUAGAGAAAGAAAAUGGCUUUUUGUGGAAGACCAGUGUCAAAAUAUUGAGCAACUCUCCUAAGAACAAGGCAUGCAAUCUCAAAUUCCUGGUUUUCAGAACAGGUUAACUGGACAAGCAAAAACAAGGAGCCAACUUAUUGGGGAGAACUAGAGGCCUAGGGAAAAGAAAAGGCCCAACUUUCUAUCCCCAACAGACCCUUUGGGAACUGAUAAAAUUAAACAUUUUUCAAAGACCCUCCAUUUCCUAUUACCACAAGAAAGUCAAAAUAUUUCUAUCUUUUAAUUUAACUUUAUCUUGCUUUUCUUUUUGAAAUUUCAAUUUAGGGCAAUAUUUCUGAGGGAUGCCAUUUUUUUUAAAUACCUACUUUCCUUCAGCUAAUGUAAAACAAAUAGUUACUCCUGGAAAUUACUUUUUACUAUUGGUUCCAAAGCUACAAUUUGCAGCAAAUAAAAGGACUCUUCCCUUCUACAGAAACAUUCAGACAACUACAUAUUGAGAGGAAGGUUUAUGUGUACUUGGAGCCUUUGGGUGAUGUUCUCUUUGGCCAUAUGAUGUGGUACUCCCACCAGCCUGCCAUUUAGUGACUCCUAUCAAAGCAAACCUCUCCAAAAACAGACACUUCAAAGAAGAUGACUAAUUGUGGGUGCCAACUGGAUGCUGAAUUGCUGAAUGGUUUCCAUCUCAUUUUCCAAAGAAAAUGUAAAAUUUCAGAGUAAAAUUGCCACUUUUCUUUUUUCACGAUGUAGUAUUUGGUGGCUUUUAAAUUCACAGCCUUCUAUUCUUGGAAGUUUUUAAAUUUUAAAUUAACUUUCCUUCCUUCAUUCCACAUUCAUCCAUUCAUUUAGUCAUUCAUUCAUUCGUUUUUUUUGGAGACAGGAUCCUGUCCUGAAUACAGCCCAGGCUGGAAUGCAGACGCAUCAUUACAGUUCACUGUAGCCUCGAACUCCUGGGCUCAAGCAAUCCUCUUGCCUCAGCCUCCCAAAUAGUUAGGACUAUAACCAUGUGCCACCCUGCCCAGCUAUUUUUUUUUAUAAAUGGGAUCUCACUAUGUUGCCCAGAUUUGUAUCGUACUACUGGCCUCAGUGAUCCCUCUUGACCCCUCAGAUCAUUAAACAUUUAUUAAAUGCC